CCUGGUGGCUCAGAUGGUAAAGCGUCUGCCUACAAUGCAGGAGACCCAGGUUCGAUCCCUGGGUCAGGA
rnacentral:tRNA from 1 species